ACACAUAAUAUAAUAAAACAAAAUAUUAUGCACUUAUUUCUAUAAUCUUGAUUAUUCUAAUAAUUUUGGUAAAUAUAGACUAUUUCAAUAGGUUUUCGCGAUACUUUCAAUGGAGAUAAUCAAACUAUUUGGAUCUUGCUUAAACAUGGAAACAAGGCAUGGCCUAUCCAAGUUAUCAACAAUGUUUUCUUUGCUGGAUGGGCAAGUUUCCUAGGGCUCAUGCAUUGUGACCAAACUUUAGGCUUGUGUUUGGUUGCUAUAGAAAAUGAAUCUUUAAUGUUUUCAUUCUGGAUGAAAAUAAUGUUGAAGUUCAAUUCCCAUGGUCACACCCAAAUCCAACAUGGGUAAAUCUAUUCCCUGUACCUGCUGGUCUUGUGACUUCAUGUAUUCCUUCUGUAUUUGCAAAUCAACAAUCUAGCAAAAAAUUUGGCCAUCAAUAUGUUACUGGAAAUCAUGUUGGGCUGGUCUUUCAAGGGCAGCUAAAUAAAGUCUUCCAGGAAAAUCCUACCCAACAAC